CUGCCCUUCGUCUGUGCUACUCUCCUCUUCCUUGGAAAUCACCCCCAUCCCAUGCCUGGCCUGUCCCCUCUCACCUUUGCAUCCCACAUCCCAGUCUGUUGUCCCUGAAAUCCUGCAUCUCAUCUUGGGUCAGUUUAAGGGAUGCUGGAAAGGAUCUGUGGAGGUUAGGGCCGAGGACAUGCAAGGAGAGACAAAGAUCUGGGCCAGGAGGUGACUGGGGUCUCAAGAGCAUGGAUCAAGGAUGACCCCAGCAUGGAGAGGUCCAUGAUGGAGCACCAGCAGCCCUCCUCCCCCUCUUCAUCACAUGAAGCUAGGUUUGUCUCCUGCAGGCAUCUGCACAAAAAGCUCUGGCUGGACAGUGGGUGGGACAAUCCUCACAACCCUUAUUUGGACUCAGCUUUGGGGAAGAGCUGCAGCUCCCCAGCAGCGCUGGAACCCAGGAAUUUCUGCUGAAUCGAUGUCCAUCUGAGCUGGGACACAACGCUGGACUGUGUCACACAGGGACAGAAGGGGAAGUUGUGAACAACUGGGCACUCUGGUGGGACAGCUGGGAAUCACAGUGAAAAACCCUGAUGCCAUUUUCAAAGCACCACCCAGCCAUGGGCUAUCUAAACCCUGACAGAGCCCCAGAGAUGUCUCCCCCCCGUGGAGAGAUCCAGAAGCACAAUGUGCCAGAUGGUUUGUCACGGCACAGCCAGGAUACAGCACCCAACCUCAAAAACAUUGUUGGUGCCAAUGACCAUGGGCUUGGGCUCCACAUCUUCACUCUCUGGGGUUAUAUUUUCUGGGUACCUGCGGGAAGGAAGAACAGAUUUCCACAUCUGAGAUAAACAAUGACAGUGCUCUGUGUGGCAGCUCAACUUCGUGACAGAUUGAAGCCACAGAUAUCCCACCCAACUGAGCUGAACUGUCAGAAUUUUGAGACUGCUUUGGAUUAGGAUUCUUCUACUCUGUCAGCUUGAGAAGGAUAUAGAAAGGGACGUAGAAACCAUCCAGUAUCUGAAGGGGGCCUUCAAGGAAGCUGGAGAGGGACUCUGUCAGGAACUGGAGCGACAGAACAAGGAGUAAUGGGCACGGACUUAAAGAGGAGAUAAAUCAGGCUACAUAAAGGAAAGAAAACCUUUACUGUGAUGGGAGUAACACACUGGAAUAGGUUCCCCAAGGCAACAGUGGCUGCCCCAACCCUCGAAGUGUCCAAGGCCAGGCUGGAGAGGCCUUGUGACUCUGUGUCUUCCCCCCAUGCCAUAGUGCCACACAUGUACACAAAAGCACGACGUCUGGUGAUUUUUUUUUUUUAACAAACUCUACCUCCCCAGGUUUUUUAAGCCCCCCCAGGGCGUCGCACGGACCCGUU